rnacentral:lncRNA from 1 species
GCGUUUCCUCCGGCUGAUCAGGCUGCCCCAUUUUGGAUUUCCCUGGGGUUCUAGGACGCAUCUUUGUCUCUCUCGGCUGCCCUGCUCUUUCUUUCUUCCCCCUGCUUUUUGGUUUACCCUCUCAACUUUUUAUUUAGAUAGAAUUGAUGUACAACAUUGCCUUAGUUUCAGGUAUAUGACGUGAUGACUCAGUAUUUGUAUAACUGCAUGAUGACCACAGCGAGUCUAGUUAAUAUCUACCACCGCACAUAGUUACUGAAUUUUUUAAUUAAGUUUUUAAAUGUUUUAUUAUUUUUUUAUGUUUUUUAUUUAUUUUUGAGAGCCAGUGCAAGCAGGGGAGGGUCAGAGAGAGAGGGAGUUACAGAAUCUGAAGCAGGCUCCAGGCUCUGAGCUAGCUGUUAGCACAGGGCCUGAUGCCGGGCUCGAACCCACGAACCUGAGAUCAUGGCGUGAGCCAAAGCUGGAUGCUUAACUGACUGAGCCACCCAGGCGCCCCAAAUGUUUUAUUAUUUUUGAGAGCGAGAGCAUGAGUUGGGGAGAGAUGGGCGGGGAGUGGAGGGGGCACAGAGGAUCCAAAGCAGGCUCUGCGCUUUGAGAGCAGAGAGCCUGAUGUGGGGCUCAAACUGAUGAACUGCAAGAUUAUGACCUGAGCGUAAGUCAGAUGCUCAACCAACUGAGCCACCCAGGCGCCCCCAGAAUUUUUGUUUACUUAUGAUGAGAACUUUCAGGAUUUACUGUCUAAGCAACUUUCCUCCCCUUUUUCAACAGUGCUUCCUGAGAAGUAUAUUCCUUCUUGUUUGUUCCUCUCGGUUUGCAGCCUCUUCCUUAUGUCUCUGGCGUGAGCCAGUCCUGCUUGGCUGUCACCUGGAUCAGGCUAGGAAUUUGAUGAUGACUGACGCUGCUUCCUGAACCAGUCCACUAACACCAGUGGCCUUCGAUGCUCCGUGGAUGCGUCAGAGAAAGUUGGAGUAGAUGAUCUUGAAGACUCAGAGAGCUAUGAAGAUUGUGAAGUCAUUCUACAUGUGAAGCUAUGAUUUAAAUAUCAGCAGUACAGUAAGUAUUUAUGAAAGAAACACAGUAAUUGUGUGGUUGCAGCGGCUGUGACUGCAUCCUGAGACUAGGUUAAAGUGUACGUCAUGAAGGGUGAAUUUGUUUGAAUCACAUUCAACAAACCAGAGCUCUGAGAAAAUUAUAGCUCUUUCUGUGAUAAGUUACAGGUCACAAUCACACAGGAGAGAUGAGCCCUUUUGAUAGUUGGAAAAAUCUUUAUGCCUCCUUAGUGGCCCAGGGGGCCCUUUAGGAGCUCCAGGAAUGAAAAGGAAAACUUAGUAUUUGGGUUUUCUUUUUGAAAAAAGAUUUUUUUUUUUGUUUUAGUGUUUAUUCAUUUUUGAGACAGAGUGUGAGCAGGGGAUGGGCAAAGAGAGAAGGAAAC